AGUGAACGCUGGCGGUAGGCCUAACACAUGCAAGUCGAACGGCAGCACAGUAAGAGCUUGCUCUUACGGGUGGCGAGUGGCGGACGGGUGAGGAAUACAUCGGAAUCUACUUUUUCGUGGGGGAUAACGUAGGGAAACUUACGCUAAUACCGCAUACGACCUACGGGUGAAAGCAGGGGAUCUUCGGACCUUGCGCGAUUGAAUGAGCCGAUGUCGGAUUAGCUAGUUGGCGGGGUAAAGGCCCACCAAGGCGACGAUCCGUAGCUGGUCUGAGAGGAUGAUCAGACACACUGGAAAUGAGACACGGUCCAGACCCCUAAGGGAGGCAGCAGUGGGGAAUAUUGGACAAUGGGCGCAAGCCUGAUCCAGCCAUACCGCGUGGGUGAAGAAGGCCUUCGGGUUGUAAAGCCCUUUUGUUGGGAAAGAAAAGCAGCAGGUUAAUACCCCGCUGUUCUGACGGUACCCAAAGAAUAAGCACCGGCUAACUUCGUG
rnacentral:rRNA from 1 species